rnacentral:lncRNA from 1 species
GGGAGCCAGGUGUCUGUCUGCAUGUGCCAAAGCAGGCAGGCCUGCUCUAUGCUCAUGAUCUCUGAGCAUAUGAGUGGGUACCUGUGGACAUCCUCAAUAUCAGAACCAGCAGCCUUUGGAGCUGAAAAGCAGAAAAGGGAUGGCAUCUGGCCAGGGAUGAGCAUUCCAGCUUGUCUCCCUCCUCAGACCUGAAUGCCAGGACAAGUGUUUUGCCGGGUUCAGGGAUGGAAGUUGAGUCUGAAUCUCCCAGUGACUGCUUCCCUCUGUGAAGACCCUCCUUCCGUCCUCUGAACUCUGUGGCUCCUGUUUUUCUGUACGGUCCUCCCAUGGGGCUGGUCCUCUGCUAAAAUGCAGCGCAAGAACCAGAGAGAGCAGGGCUGAACUUGACUUUCUGUUUAGUAGCUGUGUCGCCUAGGGCAAGCUCCUAGGCCUUUCCUACCCUCAGUUUAUCCCUUCAUAAAAUGGGAAUGAUGCUGACACCCAUUUCAAGUAAAGAGAAUGAAGAAGGCUAGAUACAUUGUUAAUGGCUCAGGAGGGUGGAUCUCAGAAUGUGCUCCACUAGUCUCUAAGACACUUUCAGAAUAAUAGUGAGAUCAAAACUGUUUUCGAGAUAUGAAGUUUGAGACAUAGCUCAGUUGGUAGAGCGCCCCUCUGCCAUGUAAGAAGCCCUGGUUCCAUCCUAGCACCUUAUAAACUAAGUGUGGUAGGCAGGCCUAUAAUCCCAGCACUCAGGAGGCAGGGACUGGAGGGUUAGAAGUUCAAGGUCAUCCUCAGGUACAAGAUGAGUUCAAGACCAGCCUGAGUACAUGAGACACUGUCUCAGAGUGAUUAAACAAAAUAAUAAA